ACUCCUACGGGAGGCAGCAGUGGGGAAUAUUGCACAAUGGGCGCAAGCCUGAUGCAGCCAUGCCGCGUGUGUGAAGAAGGCCUUCGGGUUGUAAAGCACUUUCAGUCGUGAGGAAGGUGGUAGUGUUAAUAGCACUAUCAUUUGACGUUAGCGACAGAAGAAGCACCGGCUAACUCCGUGCCAGCAGCCGCGGUAAGUACGGAGGGUGCGAGCGUUAAUCGGAAUUACUGGGCGUAAAGCGCAUGCAGGUGGUUUGUUAAGUCAGAUGUGAAAGCCCGGGGCUCAACCUCGGAAUAGCAUUUGAAACUGGCAGACUAGAGUACUGUAGAGGGGGUAGAAUUUCAGGUGUAGCGGUGAAAUGCGUAGAGAUCUGAAGGAAUACCGGUGGCGAAGGCGGCCCCUGGACAGAUACUGACACUCAGAUGCGAAAGCGUGGGAGCAAACAGGAUUAGAUACCCCUGGUAGACUGUCA
rnacentral:rRNA from 1 species